rnacentral:misc_RNA from 1 species
AAGUCGUAACAAGGUCUCUGUUGGUGAACCAGCGGAGGGAUCAUUGCAGAGUUGCAAAACUCCUCAAACUAUCGUGAACCUUUACCGCUAAACAGUUGCUUCGGCGGGUGGCCCGCGGGAGGAAUCCAAAAAACCAUCGCUUUCAGCACCGGCCUCUCUGAGUUACUCUACUUUUAAUUAACCUAGUCAAAACUUUCAACAACGGAUCUCUUGGUUCUG